AGAGUUUGAUCCUGGCUCAGAUUGAACGCUGGCGGCAUGCCUUACACAUGCAAGUCGAACGGCAGCACGGGAGCAAUCCUGGUGGCGAGUGGCGAACGGGCGAGUAAUAUAUCGGAACGUGCCCAGUCGUGGGGGAUAACGUAGCGAAAGCUACGCUAAUACCGCAUACGAUCCAUGGAUGAAAGCGGGGGAUCGCAAGACCUCGCGCGAUUGGAGCGGCCGAUAUCAGAUUAGGUUGUUGGUGGGGUAAAAGCCUACCAAGCCUGCGAUCUGUAGCUGGUCUGAGAGGACGACCAGCCACACUGGAACUGAGACACGGUCCAGACUCCUACGGGAGGCAGCAGUGGGGAAUUUUGGACAAUGGGUGCAAGCCUGAUCCAGCAAUGCCGCGUGCAGGAUGAAGGCCUUCGGGUUGUAAACUGCUUUUGUACGGAACGAAACGGCUCUUUCUAAUACAGGGGGCUAAUGACGGUACCGUAAGAAUAAGCACCGGCUAACUACGUGCCAGCAGCCGCGGUAAUAC
rnacentral:rRNA from 1 species